UACGUUACGACAACCAAAAGAGCCGAUGGAUGGGGCCCAAAGUACAGCUGGAAAAUUCAUAAUUGAUUGGCAACCGAUCUGUUUCUUCUUCACUUCCUUCUUCUCUCUCUGCAUUUUCCCUUCAAAGUUCAGACCAACCAUGGAGGUUGUUGGAGAGCUUCUUCUUUCUGCCGCCUUUCAAGUGCUGUUUGAUAAGUUGGCCUCCUCUGAUUUCCUCACCUUUGCCCGCCAAGAACACAUUCAUUCUCAACUCAAAAAGUGGGAGACCCAACUCUUCAAUAUUCGUGAAGUGCUCAACGACGCCGAGGAUAAGCAGAUUGCAAGUUCCUCUGUCAAACUCUGGCUUGCUGACCUCAGGAUCUUGGCCUAUGACAUGGAGGACAUCCUCGACGAGUUCAACACCGAAAUGCUGCGACGCAAGCUGGCAGUGCAACCUCAGGCCGCCGCCGCCAGCAGCAAGGUAUGGAGUCUCAUCCCUACUUGCUGUACUAGUUUCGCUCCCAGUCAUGUUACUUUUAAUGUUAGCAUGGGGUCCAAGAUCAAGGAUAUCACCAGCCGCUUGGAAGAUAUUUCCACUCGCAAAGCCCAACUGGGUUUGGAAAAGGUUGCAGGAACAACAACUACUACUUGGAAAAGAACACCCACCACAUCUUUGUUUAAUGAACCACAAGUUCAUGGCAGAGACGAUGACAAAAACAAGAUCGUAGAUUUGCUGCUCAGCGAUGAAUCUGCUGUUGUCCCCAUCGUUGGUAUGGGCGGGUUGGGUAAAACCACAUUAACCAGACUUGCGUAUAACGAUGAUGCGGUGGUGAAGCAUUUUAGUCCAAGAGCAUGGGUUUGUGUGUCUGUUGAGUCUGAUGUGGAGAAAAUAACAAAGGCUAUUCUCAGCGACAUCUCUCCCCAGAGCAGCGAUUUCAACAAUUUCAAUCGACUCCAAGUUGAAUUAAGCCAAUCAUUAGCUGGAAAAAGGUUUUUGCUUGUCCUGGAUGAUGUUUGGAACAUGAACUAUGAAGAUUGGAAUAACUUGCGAUCCCCUUUCAGGGGAGGGGCUAAAGGAAGUAAAGUCAUAGUAACCACACGUGAUCGAGGAGUGGCAUUAAUAAUGCAACCAUCUGAUAACUACCACCACUCUCUUGAGCCUUUAUCAGACGAUGACUGCUGGUCAAUAUUUGUACAACAUGCAUUUGAAAACAGAGACAUCCAAGAACAUCCGAAUUUAAAAUCAAUAGGCAAGAAGAUUGUUGAAAAGUGCCGUGGUUUGCCGUUAGCAGCAAAGGUGCUUGGUGGUAUCUUACGCUCCAAACAGCGAGACAAUGAAUGGGAGCAUAUAUUGAAUAGCAAAAUUUGGACCUUACCAGAUACUGAAUGUGGCAUCAUUCCUGCAUUACGGUUGAGUUAUCAUCAUCUUCCAGCGCAACUAAAAAGAUGCUUUGUUUAUUGCGCAACAUUUCCUCAAGACUACGAAUUUAGGGAAACUGAGCUAGUUUUGUUAUGGAUGGCAGAGGGAUUAAUUCAACCAUUGGAAGGAAAUAAGCAAAUGGAAGAUUUAGGUGGUGAGUACUUUCGUGAAUUGGUGUCGAGGUCAUUUUUCCAACAGUCUGGAAAUGGUGGAUCACGAUUCGUCAUGCACGACCUCAUUAGUGAUCUUGCUCAAUCAGUUGCUGGAGAACUAUGUUGCAAUUUGGAGGAUAAGUUGAAGCAUGAUAAGAACCAUACCAUUUUACAAGACACUCGCCAUGUGUCAUACAAUCGUUGUUAUUUUGGGAUCUUUAAAAAAUUUGAAGCUCUCGAGGAAGUGGAGAAGUUACGAACAUUUAUAGUGUUACCAAUUUAUCAUGGAUGGGGUUACUUAACUAGUAAGGUGUUUAGUUGCUUGUUCCCCAAACUAAGAUAUUUAAGAGUGCUAUCUUUGAGUGGGUAUUCUAUAAAAGAGUUACCAAACUCAGUCCGAGAUUUAAAGCAUUUACGAUAUCUUAAUUUGUCCAGAACUGCAAUUGAAAGGUUACCAGAAUCGAUAAGUGAGCUCUACAAUUUACAAUCCUUAAUAUUGUGUCAAUGUCAAUAUCUUGCAAUGUUACCUAAGAGCAUCGGGAAUUUGGUUGAUCUUCGACAUUUGGAUAUUACCUAUACAAUGAGCUUAAAAAAGAUGCCUCCGCACUUAGGUAACUUGGUAAAUUUGCAAACACUAUCAAAGUUUAUCGUGGAGAAAAAUAAUAGCUCAUCAAGUAUAAAAGAAUUGAAGAAGUUGCCGAACAUUAGAGGGACACUUUCCAUUUUAGGGUUGCAUAAUGUGGCGGAUGCUCAAGAUGCAAUGGAUGUGGAUUUGAAGGGGAAGCAUAACAUUAAAGAUUUAACAAUGGAAUGGGGCAAUGAUUUUGAUGAUACUCGCAAUGAACAGAAUGAAAUGCAAGUUUUGGAGUUGCUUCAACCCCAUAAAAAUCUGGAAAAACUCACCAUCUCAUUUUAUGGUGGAGGAAUAUUCCCAAGUUGGAUGAGGAACCCUUCAUUCUCACUGAUGGUGCAGUUGUGUCUCGAAGGUUGCAGAAACUGCACACUGUUACCAUCUCUUGGGCAAUUGUCCUCGCUCAAAAACUUGCGCAUUGAAGGAAUGAGUGGAAUAAAAAAUAUAGAUGUUGAAUUUUACGGGCAGAAUGUGGAGUCUUUUCAAUCGUUGGAGUCUCUAACCUUUUCGGAUAUGCCAGAGUGGGAAGAAUGGCGUUCUCCCAGUUUCAUUGAUGAAGAGAGAUUAUUUCCUCGCCUCCGUAAGCUUACGAUGACGCAAUGUCCAAAAUUGGCUGGGAAGUUACCCAGUUCGUUAAGUUCCCUCGUAAAGCUAGAGAUAGUGGAAUGUUCGAAGUUGAUUCCUCCGCUUCCAAAAGUUUUAUCUCUCCAUGAAUUAAAAUUAAAAGCAUGUAACGAAGAAGUGUUGGGCAGAAUUGCAGCUGAUUUCAACUCCCUUGCAGCGUUGGAAAUUGGAGAUUGCAAAGAGGUGAGAUGGUUGAGAUUAGAAAAGCUCGGCGGGCUGAAGCGUUUAAAGGUGCGUGGAUGUGAUGGACUCGUAUCCUUGGAGGAGCCAGCUCUACCAUGCAGUCUUGAAUAUCUGGAAAUAGAAGGGUGUGAAAAUAUUGAGAAGCUGCCAAAUGAAUUGCAAAGUCUCAGGUCAGCAACUGAGUUAGUAAUCGGAAAGUGUCCGAAGCUUAUGAACAUUCUGGAGAAAGGGUGGCCGCCCAUGCUAAGGAAACUUAGAGUGUAUGGUUGUGAGGGUAUCAAGGCACUACCAGGUGAUUGGAUGAUGAUGAGGAUGGAUGGUGACAACACCAACUCCUCAUGUGUCCUUGAAAGAGUGCAAAUUAUGAGGUGUCCAUCUCUCCUUUUCUUUCCAAAAGGUGAAUUACCCACCUCACUUAAACAACUGAUAAUUGAAGAUUGUGAAAAUGUCAAGUCCCUACCGGAGGGUAUUAUGGGCAAUUGCAAUCUCGAGCAGUUAAAUAUCUGCGGAUGUUCAUCUCUGACGUCAUUUCCAAGUGGUGAGUUACCCUCCACCCUUAAGCACCUCGUCAUUUCGAAUUGUGGGAAUCUGGAAUUGCUGCCGGAUCACAUGCCCAACCUCACAUAUCUUGAAAUUAAGGGAUGUAAGGGUCUCAAACAUCAUCACUUGCAAAACCUCACUUCUCUUGAAUGCCUGUAUAUAAUUGGAUGUCCGAUUAUAGAGUCAUUACCGGAAGGGGGUUUGGGUUUCGCCCCCAACUUGAGAGAUGUUGACAUUACCGAUUGUGAGAAUCUGAAGACGCCUCUGUCAGAGUGGGGACUCAAUUGGCUCCUCUCUCUCAAAAAACUCACCAUUGCUCCAGGUGGAUAUCAAAAUGUGGUUUCAUUUUCACAUGGUCAUGAUGACUGCCACCUUCGUCUUCCUACAUCUCUCACCUAUCUAAAAAUUGGAAAUUUCCAGAAUCUGGAAUCCAUGGCCUCCCUGCCUCUCCCGACCCUCAUUUCCCUUGAACAUCUUUGUAUCUCGGAUUGUCCAAAGCUCCAGCAGUUUUUGCCGAAGGAAGGGCUACCAGCAACACUCGGAUGGCUUCAGAUCCGGGGUUGUCCUAUCAUAGAAAAGAGGUGCUUAAAGGGCAGAGGAGAAGAUUGGCCCCGCAUUGCCCACAUCCCCGACAUUCAUAUAGGCGGCAAUUGAGACCUUCACUCAAUUUUCUCUCUGCAAAACAAAUGAGAGCAGACGUUGUUCAACCAGGUCUGUCCAAUUGAAUUUGGACUUCAUGUUGGAGACUCUAACUUUGGAGUGAAUCUUGUGUGGGCACUUGCUAUUUCUCGGUUGUUUUUCUUGUUUACAAAGCAAUGUUUACAAUGCGAUGAGUGAAUCAAGGGUAACCCAAUGACAUAAGAAAGAGCUGUUGCAAUAGCCUUAUGCUGCUGAUGCUAUAGUUUACCAUUGAAGCUAAGAAGUCUUGUGCUAAGUGAUUGUAUUUGAAGGAACCACCUACUGGAAUGAUUUUGUUUCUAGGAUUUGAUGGAAGCUGAUGACUAUUUAUUUAUUGUUCACACUUCUGUGAAUAUCCAAAAAGUCACACAUUUUGGCCAUUCAUCUUAUUUUGACUCUGUUUGAAAUACUUGAGAAGGCCACACAGCAACGGUAGUUCUCCUAAAUACUGAGAGAUUAAGUUUUGUUCAGUUUUGAUGUUGCUUGAGAGAGUUGAGUUACAAUUGAAUUUUGAAAAUCUUCAAGAUUCUGGUUGCAAGUAAAUAGAGUUGUUUUAAGGGAAGUUAUAUGUUACAAAUCGGUACCUUAAAGCAUUUCACAGUCGAGUCUUUAGCAAUGGGAAGUUUAACCGGGUGCCUCCGUAGACUCUUGCAUCUUAUUGAACCCCAUAUUUGAUUACAAGAAAAUGUAGAAGUAGAGCCAUCCAUUCCCUCCCUUGUAUGUAAUCAGGUAUAUUAUUGGCAAUGUACAACUCUUACCUUUUUCAAUAUUAAAUUCUCUACAGUACAUCGGUACAUGUAGGAUUAGCAGAAGGAAAUAAUCUCCUAACAAAAACAUAAUUGUUAAUAACUCAUGUACGUGGUGUGUUUUUCAAUUUGGCUAAUAAAAUGACAUUGUUACUUCCUAAUUCAAUUUCAUUUAAGCUUCAGUCCUUUUUAUGUAGUUUGCGGGCUAGUACAAGUCAGUAGGUUCAAGAACUCUAAAGGAUCCCCCAAGUUUGCAACUCUCUUGAAAGCAUUAUAGGUUGAGAAGGAUCCUAGGCUUUGCCAUUCCUUAAUUUGUAGAGGAGACCAAAAGACAAUCAUAAAUAUAGGUGUUUUCAAGAGAAAGAAGAAGAUUGUAGUGGUGAUGACCACAUCUGACCACAUCCCCUAUGUAUGCAUUAAGAAUCCUAGUUUCUCUUCAUGGAAGUCUAAGCAGAGAUGAUCUCACAGCAUAUAAUUCUUACCUUAUCUGGUAUGAAACUUGCCACUUCUUGCAUAUUCAUUGAAUCCCCUACUGUACAUGAAAGUUGAAAAAGAGGAAAAAGUGGAACCCAGGGCAUCUUUUUCACUUUUGUGUUGAAUCUUGGGCAAUAUUUGUUUAUUGGAAAUAUAUAUUAAUUUAUGUUUCAUCUUGCCAAUAUCUUCUGUAUCUCCUGUGAGGAAACUGAUGGCGUCCUUGAUGAUAAAGUUUUUUUUUUUUUCUGAUUUUGAAAUUUAUCUACUUGCAUUUGAUAAUAAGGAAUGCUUUCUAAUUGACUUUGUCUUAUAUGUUAAUAUGCAGGAAACUUAUCUUAUUUUAUUAUCAAAAUUGAGAAAGAUUUUUCCACUGACUUGAAAAUGUGGCCUGCAGAAAGGGAGGUGGGCAGUGUUGAUUUUCUCAAACUUUUGAAUUAAUCAUGUUAUGUAGCAUUCUGACAAAUUUUGUAAUGCUUUCCAACUGUAAGAAAUGUAUUGUUUUACAUCUUAUCUGUUUAGGAUUAAUUACAUCACUUUCUUCCCUUUUCUUGUCUCUUGAAGGCUGUGGUUCAAGGAGUUGCUAAAGUUUUUUAUUUGUUAUAGGAGAAGGAUGAAAAGGAGAAAAAUAGGAAGGUCAAACAAGUUCAAAAUUUCCUAACCAUGGGCUCAAGAAGUUAUUCCAGGUUUGUCAAAAGAAUGGAUUACCAUCUUUUUAUUGUGUCAGCUACUGUUUGACUGCAUUGUUUUGUACAAGGUUAAUGUUACUUUUGUAUGUUUAUUGAUAUUUUUAGUGAUAUAACCAUUACUUUCAUUUGUUCAUUGAUGGAAUCUUUUCCUGAUUUUAUAAUUAUCAUAUAAAGUUUCCAUCUUUAGGACUUAUUCUAAACCACUUCCUGGAGACAGUCUCUGUCAUUAGUCUCAUGCAGGAUGCAUGGUCUCAUUAGCUUUCCUAGUUAAAGGCUAGAGAGACAAGUUCACCUCGUUCUUAAGGAGCUUAAGAUUCUGGACUGCAAAUAACAUGAAGGCCCUGCAGUGUGAUAAAAGGAUUCCCAACUUUUAUUAGGGUGCCUCCACAGCCCUUUGCAUCUAACUGAAACUCGUAUCGGUGAGAAGCACGAGUAGAACUGUCCAUUCUCACCUUAGAUGCAAGCAGGCCAUGACUGGAGUGAAGCCAUAUAUAUGCAGUAUGCCAUUGAGGAUGGAUGAGGGAUGCAAUACAAUCUAGUAGAAUCUUGCUGAUUUUACCAGAAAAGCAUAUGGAGCCGACCAUGUUGAGGCAUCGUGAGUUCAGGUUCAUGCAAAUUGCCUGCUGAGAAGGAUUUAUUUCUCUGACCCCCUUUGCUUCCAAGAAGAACUCCCACCAGAAUUCAAACUGUAUCUCCCAAUGCAGAAAGCAUGAUGGGGUUUGUGGCACAGUAAGCUAAGGAACUUGUGCUGCCCAUGUUUUCAGAACACAGUAUCUUCAAAAUUCAGAAUGUGUUUAUUCACCAAGGGAUGACAUUUGAACCUGCUGAGAUGAGCACCAUCUUUUCUACUUGCUUGAUAUUUGUUUAAAAUAUUACCAUUUUAGGAUUUCAUAAAGCGAAUAUAUCUUAUUUCGUCAAGCCCAUUUUGUGGGUGGAAUGGGGAUUUCAUGAUUUGAGUAUUUAUAUUUCAUACUGUAAUUUUUGUGGUCACAAUUCAAUGGAUGUGCUGUUGUAGUAGUGAAACUUCUUCAUAACACAAGGCUGUGUUUUGAGCAAGGAAUCAAAUGAUUUUGCAGAA